GAUGAACUCUGGCGGCGUGCCUAAUACAUGCAAGUCGAGCGAACAGACAAGGAGCUUGCUCCUUUGACGUUAGCGGCGGACGGGUGAGUAACACGUGGGUAACCUACCUAUAAGACUGGGAUAACUUCGGGAAACCGGAGCUAAUACCGGAUAAUAUUUCGAACCGCAUGGUUCGAUAGUGAAAGAUGGUUUUGCUAUCACUUAUAGAUGGACCCGCGCCGUAUUAGCUAGUUGGUAAGGUAACGGCUUACCAAGGCGACGAUACGUAGCCGACCUGAGAGGGUGAUCGGCCACACUGGAACUGAGACACGGUCCAGACUCCUACGGGAGGCAGCAGUAGGGAAUCUUCCGCAAUGGGCGAAAGCCUGACGGAGCAACGCCGCGUGAGUGAUGAAGGUCUUCGGAUCGUAAAACUCUGUUAUUAGGGAAGAACAUACGUGUAAGUAACUAUGCACGUCUUGACGGUACCUAAUCAGAAAGCCACGGCUAACUACGUGCCAGCAGCCGCGGUAAUACGUAGGUGGCAAGCGUUAUCCGGAAUUAUUGGGCGUAAAGCGCGCGUAGGCGGUUUUUUAAGUCUGAUGUGAAAGCCCACGGCUCAACCGUGGAGGGUCAUUGGAAACUGUAAAACUUGAGUGCAGAAGAGGAAAGUGGAAUUCCAUGUGUAGCGGUGAAAUGCGCAGAGAUAUGGAGGAACACCAGUGGCGAAGGCGACUUUCUGGUCUGUAACUGACGCUGAUGUGCGAAAGCGUGGGGAUCAAACAGGAUUAGAUACCCUGGUAGUCCAUGCCGUAAACGAUGAGUGCUAAGUGUUAGGGGGUUUCCGCCCCUUAGUGCUGCAGCUAACGCAUUAAGCACUCCGCCUGGGGAGUACGACCGCAAGGUUGAAACUCAAAGGAAUUGACGGGGACCCGCACAAGCGGUGGAGCAUGUGGUUUAAUUCGAAGCAACGCGAAGAACCUUACCAAAUCUUGACAUCCUUUGACAACUCUAGAGAUAGAGCCUUCCCCUUCGGGGGACAAAGUGACAGGUGGUGCAUGGUUGUCGUCAGCUCGUGUCGUGAGAUGUUGGGUUAAGUCCCGCAACGAGCGCAACCCUUAAGCUUAGUCGCCAUCAUUAAGUUGGGCACUCUAAGUUGACUGCCGGUGACAAACCGGAGGAAGGUGGGGAUGACGUCAAAUCAUCAUGCCCCUUAUGAUUUGGGCUACACACGUGCUACAAUGGACAAUACAAAGGGCAGCGAAACCGCGAGGUCAAGCAAAUCCCAUAAAGUUGUUCUCAGUUCGGAUUGUAGUCUGCAACUCGACUACAUGAAGCUGGAAUCGCUAGUAAUCGUAGAUCAGCAUGCUACGGUGAAUACGUUCCCGGGUCU
rnacentral:rRNA from 1 species